rnacentral:rRNA from 1 species
UGCGUAGGCGGUUUAGCAAGUUGGUAGCGUAAUUCCGGGGCUCAACUUCGGAACUACUACCAAAACUGCUAGGCUUGAGUGCGGCAGGGGUAUGUGGAAUUCCUAGUGUAGCGGUGGAAUGCGUAGAUAUUAGGAGGAACACCGGAGGCGAAAGCGACAUACUGGGCCGUAACUGACGCUGAGGCACGAAAGCGUGGGGAGCAAACA